GCCUCACACGCCACCCAGCGAUGGGGCAGGGGCCGCGGCCGCCUUGUCCCCGAGCCGGCGCGCCCGCUGCCCCGCCUCUUCCCUUCUCUGUGAAACUGCCGCCGAGCUUUCUUCCCGCCGAGGGCGCGCGGAAUUCGCUGUGCUGCUUUCUUUAUUCGUGCCCAGACAAAUAAUGGAUCAAGGCAAUGGUCACCAAGGCCACUAACAUCACAGAAAAGAUCACUAGACAUUGUGUGCCAUCUGAUGGAAAUACACACCACCACAGAAAGAGCAAACCUGAGUCUGAACCAGCUUCUAGAUCCAACUACCAGUUUAUAAGAACUUCUGGAAUAGAGGAAUACGUUAAACAAUCCUACUAACAGGCGCACCACGAAGCCCCAGAAAGAGACUUGUUUCCAGCCUGGACUUUGCUACCCGCUGUCUGCAUGAUCCUGAAAUUUACACCGAACCUUUCUGAGACUCAGCUUUAGUCUCCUCACCCUUUGACUCACUCGGCCACUCCAUUUCUAGGUAUCUAUCUCCCCUGCCCCCCAGUACUCACACAGUAUUGAAAGAAAUAUAUAUUCAAGGGGCUGGCCCCGUGGCCGAGUGGUUAAGUUCGCGCGCUCUGCUGCAGGCGGCCCAGUGUUUCGUUGGUUCGAAUCCUGGGCGCGGACAUGGCACUGCUCAUCAAGCCACGCUGAGGCAGCGUCCCAUAUGCCACAACUAGAAGGACCCACAACGAAGAAUA
rnacentral:lncRNA from 1 species